GAUGAACGCUGGCGGCGUGCCUAAUACAUGCAAGUCGAGCGAACAGACGAGGAGCUUGCUCCUUCGACGUUAGCGGCGGACGGGUGAGUACACGUAGGUAACCUACCUAUAAGACUGGGAUAACUUCGGGAAACCGGAGCUAAUACCGGAUAAUAUUUCGAACCGCAUGGUUCGAUAGUGAAAGAUGGCUUUGCUAUCACUUAUAGAUGGACCUGCGCCGUAUUAGCUAGUUGGUAAGGUAACGGCUUACCAAGGCAACGAUACGUAGCCGACCUGAGAGGGUGAUCGGCCACACUGGAACUGAGACACGGUCCAGACUCCUACGGGAGGCAGCAGUAGGGAAUCUUCCGCAAUGGGCGAAAGCCUGACGGAGCAACGCCGCGUGAGUGAUGAAGGUCUUCGGAUCGUAAAACUCUGUUAUUAGGGAAGAACAAACGUGUAAGUAACUGUGCACGUCUUGACGGUGCCUAAUCAGAAAGCCACGGCUAACUACGUG
rnacentral:rRNA from 1 species